rnacentral:rRNA from 1 species
AUGCACCCAUAUUUGCAUGAGUAUUAUUCAGUACAAAAAUUCAAAGCUGCAUAUCCAAGUCCAAUUCCUGCACUGACUAACCAAUCUCAGUGGCCUGAGGUGGAAAUAAAAUUUACCUGGUGUCCCCUUGUCACUAGAAGAAAGGUUGGGAGGCCAAAACAGAGCAGAUUCAAAGCUUGGUUUGAGAAAGGUGGUUGUAGUAAGAAGGGGAAAAGGGAAAAGGAAAAGAAUGAUAAGCCCAAAAGGGCUCAAAAAGGUAACAAAAAUAGGUGCAAGUUGUGUGAGGUACUUGGGCACAGAAUUGGUUCAUCCAAAUGCAUCUACACUCCUUAG